GAUGAACGCUGGCGGCGUGCCUAACACAUGCAAGUCGAACGGACUUACAUUGAAGCCUAGCGAUAUGUAAGUUAGUGGCGGACGGGUGAGUAACGCGUGGGUAACCUGCCUUGUACUGGGGGACAACAGUUGGAAACGACUGCUAAUACCGCAUAAGCGCACAGUACCGCAUGGUACAGUGUGAAAAACUCCGGUGGUGUGAGAUGGACCCNGUCUGAUUAGCUUGUUGGCAGGGUAACGGCCUACCAAAGCGACGAUCAGUAGCCGACCUGAGAGGGUGACCGGCCACAUUGGGACUUGAGACACGGCCCAAACUCCUACGGAGGCAGCAU
rnacentral:rRNA from 1 species